ACGUAGGCAGCGAGCGUUGUUCGGAGUUACUGGGCGUAAAGGGUGUGUAGGCUGUUCUCCGUGUCUGGUGUGAAAUCUCCCGGCUCAACUGGGAGGGUGCGCCGGAAACUGGAGAGCUUGGAGUGCGGGAUGGGAGAGUGGAAUUCCUGGUGUAGCGGUGAAAUGCGUAGAUAUCAGGAGGAACACCGGUGGUGUAGACGGCUCUCUGGACCGUAACUGACGCUGAGACACGAAAGCGUGGGUAGCAAACAG
rnacentral:rRNA from 1 species